UAAUACAGAGGUCUCAAGCGUUGUUCGGAUUCAUUGGGCGUAAAGGGAGCGUAGGUGGCGGGGUAAGUCGGAUGUGAAAUCCCGGGGCUCAACCCCGGAACUGCAUUCGAUACUGCCUUGCUCGAGUACUGGAGAGGAGAUCGGAAUUUACGGUGUAGCAGUGAAAUGCGUAGAUAUCGUAAGGAAGACCAGUGGCGAAGGCGGAUCUCUGGACAGUUACUGACACUGAGGCUCGAAGGCCAGGGGAGCAAACGGGA
rnacentral:rRNA from 1 species